AGAGUUUGAUCCUGGCUCAGGACGAACGCUGGCGGCGUGCUUAACACAUGCAAGUCGAGCGAGAAAGCGGCUUCGGCCGUGAGUACAGCGGCGAACGGGUGAGUAACACGUGGGCAACCUGCCCCGGAGACUGGGAUAACGUUCCGAAAGGGACGCUAAUACUAGAUGACGCAUGACCUGCCAAGUGGGUCGUGCCAAAUGGUAGCCUCGGCCUCUGCUCCGGGAUGGGCCCGCGCCGGAUUAGCUUGUUGGUGAGGUAACGGCUCACCAAGGCGACGAUCCGUAGCUGGUCUGAGAGGACGAUCAGCCACACCGGAACUGAGACACGGUCCGGACUCCUACGGGAGGCAGCAGUGGGGAAUAUUGGACAAUGGGGGAAACCCUGAUCCAGCGACGCCGCGUGGGUGAAGAAGGCCUGCGGGUUGUAAAGCCCUUUCGGUAGGGACGAAAACUCUUGCCCUAACAAGGCAGGAGCUUGACUUAACCUACAUAAGAAGCACCGGCUAACUCUGUGCCAGCAGCCGCGGUAAUACAGAGGGUGCGAGCGUUAAUCGGAAUUACUGGGCGUAAAGCGCACGUAGGCGGCUUUGUAAGUCGGAUGUGAAAUCCCCGGGCUCAACCUGGGAACUGCACCCGAAACUACAUUGCUAGAGUAUGGGAGAGGGAGGCGGAAUUUCCGGUGUAGCAGUGAAAUGCGUAG
rnacentral:rRNA from 1 species